AUUUUACUGAAAUACCAAACUGAAUUGUCCUAAUUUGAAAAUUUAGUUCUGUUUUUUAAGGAAAAUUCGGUUUGGUUGGAUUUUAUUUUUGUAUUAAAAAACUGUGAAAAUUGAACUGAAACUUAUAUGUUAAUGUAAUUGAAAUUAUUUUAAAUAGAAAACUAAGACACUGCAUUUCAUUCAGUGAAUGCAGCACUAAAAUUUCUCCUCCUCUUCUCCUCUGCAGUUUUCUAUUCCUAUCUCGUGCCACACAAUGCUUCUCUUCCUAUCUCACAUACCUAAGUUGUCCACUUCUCUUCCAUGGGCCACCAACUACUAGAAGACUUCCCUUUCUCCUCUUCAAUUCCAAGGAGACUUCAUGUCAGCCAUUAUAUCAGCUCAAGGUCCAUCGCGUUGCCUACUGCCUGUGUUUUGCAACCUCUGACCUUUGUUUCACAAGCCCACGUCCUUUUCUUUGUUGCUUCUUCGCCCCUUUGCAGAACAAACAUUACCUGGCCCAUUUUCUUAUUUCUCUCUUGAAACCUCUCUUUCUCUCUAUAUAUGAUUGUUCUCUUUCUGGUGCCAGAUUUUCAUAUACAUUUAAGGACUAAGUAGUAGGCUUGAACUUGUUGAUAGUUGAGCGGUUCUGUAACUCUGCUAAAAUGGCUAGUGAUUCUGAUUUUGACAAAAUGAAUAUUAAAGCUGCUAAUGAAGGUUCAUCGAAGCAGUUGGAUUCAAAGAAAGUGGAAAAACAACUUUUCUUCAUAGGUUGGUUUGUCACACACAAGCUACAAAUAUUCGUGGUUAUGUACUCAACCUUGAUCCUGCUGUGAUAACUCUUCCUUUUGGUGCAAACUUUGAUAUAAGAGAUACUGUCUCGUACAAGGAAGUCAUGAAGCAGUUUAAUCUUGGACCUAAUGGGGGAAUCCUAACUUCUUUAAAUUUGUUUGCUACAAAGUUUUAUGAGGUGAAACUUUCCUUUCAUAUUCCUGUUUUAAAAUUAUUGAUUCGACUGUAUGUCUGUCUUUAGCUCCAUGACAAUCUAUAUUAUUUGUUCAUUAUUGUGUAUCUGCUAUAAUAUAUUCUCCAUGGAUAUCUCGAGGUUAUGUUGGGUUGGCAUCUACCUUGUUUAGCGCAUGCCUGUCAAAAAAACUGGAUAGUCUUGUACCAGAUCUUUUUCAUUUGGAAAGAGAAAUUCAAUGCUCUCUCUUGUAUUGACACUUUUGGGCGAUCAUACUGGAUUAUGUGGCAAAUGCCUUUCGUGUUUAUGAGGUUAUUUCAACUAUUGAGAGGCGAGCAGAUCAACUUGAUUAUGUUCUAGUGGAUACACCUGGACAAAUUGAGAUAUUUACUUGGUCUGCUUCUGGAGCUAUUAUUACAGAAGCUUUUGCUUCAACUUUUCUGACUAUAAUUGCUUAUGUGGUUGAUACACCUUGUUCCUCAAGCCCAACUACUGCAUGAGCAAUAUGCAUUAUGCUUGUAGCAUACUCUACAAGACACGGUUGCCUCUUGUGUUGGCGUUCAACAAGACAGAUGUGGCUCACCACCAGUUUGCUUUGGAACUAUAUACUUUUAUAAAUAUUAGAUGGUUAUUUGUGAAUAUUUUAUCUUGCUUUUUUAACAUCCUUGUGUUACUAAAGUUUAAAGAUUUAUAUCUUUCCUCUUUUUUGAUGUAUCGUUGUGCCUUCUUAACCAUGUUGACCUGAAGGUUUAUUCAAAUACUCCACACUGUUAAAGUGGUGCCUGUAAAGUCUAUUAUGUUAAACCCUUAAUAGAUGAGGGUUAUUCUUUGAUACUAGAAGAUUUUGAUUUGCAAUUUGAAAGGGUUGCUUCAGGAAUUCAAUUGUGUGGAUGGAAGAUUUUGAAGCCUUGCAAGCGGCAGUCAGCUCAGAUCACUCAUAUACAUCCACUUUGACAGCAAGCCUUUCCCUCGUGCUUGAUGAAUUUUAUAAGAAUUUAAAAUCUGUUGGGGUAUCUGCUGUUUCUGGAGCUGGAAUGGAUGCCUGCUUUAAGGCUAUUGAGGCUAGUGCUGAGGAAUAUAUGGAAACUUACAAGGCUGAUCUUGAUAAGAGACGGGCAGAGAACCAACGUCUGGAGGAAGAAUGACGGAGACAGAACAAGGAGAGGUUGAGGAAAGAUUUGGAGAAAUCUGGGGGAGAAACUGUGGUCCUGAGCACUGGUUUGAAGGACAAAGAAGCCAGGAGAGAUAUUAUGAUGGAUGAGGAGGAGGAAGAUGAUGAUUUUGAGAGGUUUGAAGAAAAGGAAGAAGAUGUUAUAGAUGAAGACAAAGAUGAAGAGGUUGCCAGGUUCUCCUAUUAGUGAAGCUGUUUUACAGCCAUAAGUUUCUUGAGAUCACUUAAUACAGGACCUUUGGGAAUGGAUUAUUAGUUUUGCACUAGGAUGGCAUGACAUAAUGAUGAUAGACUACUUCCUUGCUGCUGUUCUUGCCUGACUGUGAAUGUACCAUGCUCUGAGUUUACAUGUGCAUUAGUUUUGAGUUGGAACUUGGCAAUUAUUCACCUUAUAAUUGGACAAUGUGUACUAAUACAUUGUGGUAUUGCAUUGUCCAAUUACAGUGCUAGAUGUUCGUAGAUAUUUUAUUUGUACAGGAUUUAAAUUGUAGAGGUGCUUUCUGAUGGCUGAAGGAAUGUUAUCCGAUUAUUUAUUCUGUUUCUGAAUGCCAUUGGUUGGUACCAUGUAAUCUCUGUAAUUGGAAUUUGUGAAUUUGCUAUCUCUUGGGCUUUUCUGUUGGCAGUGCUAUAGAGAAAUCGAGAAAAAGUUUU
rnacentral:misc_RNA from 1 species